AUUGAACGCUGGCGGCAGGCCUAACACUUGCAAGUCGAACGGUAACAGGAAGCAGCUUGCUGCUUUGCUGACGAGUGGCGGACGGGUGAGUAAUGUCUGGGAAACUGCCUGAUGGAGGGGGAUAACUACUGGAAACGGUAGCUAAUACCGCAUAACGUCGCAAGACCAAAGAGGGGGACCUUCGGGCCUCUUGCCAUCGGAUGUGCCCAGAUGGGAUUAGCUAGUAGGUGGGGUAACGGCUCACCUAGGCGACGAUCCCUAGCUGGUCUGAGAGGAUGACCAGCCACACUGGAACUGAGACACGGUCCAGACUCCUACGGGAGGCAGCAGUGGGGAAUAUUGCACAAUGGGCGCAAGCCUGAUGCAGCCAUGCCGCGUGUAUGAAGAAGGCCUUCGGGUUGUAAAGUACUUUCAGCGGGGAGGAAGGGAGUAAAGUUAAUACCUUUGCUCAUUGACGUUACCCGCAGAAGAAGCACCGGCUAACUCCGUG
rnacentral:rRNA from 1 species